GAUCAGAAUGCUUAGCGGCGGACGGGUGAGUAAUGCUUAGGAAUCUGCCUAUUAGUGGGGGACAACAUUUCGAAAGGAAUGCUAAUACCGCAUACGUCCUACGGGAGAAAGCAGGGGAUCUUCGGACCUUGCGCUAAUAGAUGAGCCUAAGUCGGAUUAGCUAGUUGGUGGGGUAAAGGCCUACCAAGGCGACGAUCUCUAGCGGGUCUGAGAGGAUGAUCCGCCACACUGGGACUGAGACACGGCCCAGACUCCUACGGGAGGCAGCAGUGGGGAAUAUUGGACAAUGGGCGCAAGCCUGAUCCAGCCAUGCCGCGUGUGUGAAGAAGGCCUUAUGGUUGUAAAGCACUUUAAGCGAGGAGGAGGCUACUGAAGUUAAUACCUUCAGAUAGUGGACGUUACUCGCAGAAUAAGCACCGGCUAACUCUGUGCCAGCAGCCGCGGUAAUACAGAGGGUGCAAGCGUUAAUCGGAUUUACUGGGCGUAAAGCGCGCGUAGGCGGCUAAUUAAGUCAAAUGUGAAAUCCCCGAGCUUAACUUGGGAAUUGCAUUCGAUACUGGUUAGCUAGAGUGUGGGAGAGGAUGGUAGAAUUCCAGGUGUAGCGGUGAAAUGCGUAGAGAUCUGGAGGAAUACCGAUGGCGAAGGCAGCCAUCUGGCCUAACACUGACGCUGAGGUGCGAAAGCAUGGGGAGCAAACAGGAUUAGAUACCCUGGUAGUCCAUGCCGUAAACGAUGUCUACUAGCCGUUGGGGCCUUUGAGGCUUUAGUGGCGCAGCUAACGCGAUAAGUAGACCGCCUGGGGAGUACGGUCGCAAGACUAAAACUCAAAUGAAUUGACGGGGGCCCGCACAAGCGGUGGAGCAUGUGGUUUAAUUCGAUGCAACGCGAAGAACCUUACCUGGCCUUGACAUAGUAAGAACUUUCCAGAGAUGGAUUGGUGCCUUCGGGAACUUACAUACAGGUGCUGCAUGGCUGUCGUCAGCUCGUGUCGUGAGAUGUUGGGUUAAGUCCCGCAACGAGCGCAACCCUUUUCCUUAUUUGCCAGCGAGUAAUGUCGGGAACUUUAAGGAUACUGCCAGUGACAAACUGGAGGAAGGCGGGGACGACGUCAAGUCAUCAUGGCCCUUACGGCCAGGGCUACACACGUGCUACAAUGGUCGGUACAAAGGGUUGCUACCUAGCGAUAGGAUGCUAAUCUCAAAAAGCCGAUCGUAGUCCGGAUUGGAGUCUGCAACUCGACUCCAUGAAGUCGGAAUCGCUAGUAAUCGCGGAUCAGAAUGCCGCGGUGAAUACGUUCCCGGGCCUUGUACACACCGCCCGUCACACCAUGCUUAGCGGCGGACGGGUGAG
rnacentral:rRNA from 1 species